rnacentral:lncRNA from 1 species
AAAACACAAAGUUCACAAAUAAAACCCCAAAACCCAAAGUCUACAAAUAAGACCCCAAAAUCCAAAGUCCACAAAUAAAACCUAUGUAUAAUCCAAAAAUAAAACCCAAAAUUCAAAGUCCACAAAUAAAACCCCAAUUUCAAAAGUCCACGAAUAAAACUCAAAACCCAAAGUCCACAAAUAAAAUCUACGACUGAAAAGUCGCUAAACUAACCCGUUAAAUCAAACGACUGGAAAGUAGCUAAAAUAAAUGACCAAACCCAAAUGAUCAUAAAGUCAUUAAACUAAUAUGACAGCAAAGUCUUUAAACUAGACAAUCCAAAUUCAAACCGACUGCAAAGUCGUUAAACUAAGAUGCCAGAACCAAACGACCAUCAAGUCGUUAAACUAAAAAUUCAAACGACCGCAAAGUUGUCAAACUAAACAACCCAAAUUCAUACGACCGCAAAGUCAUUAAACUAAACUAAACCUAAAUUCAAACGAUCGCAAAGUCGUUGAACUAAACAACCCAGAAUCAAACAACCGUAAAGUUGUUAAACUGAUAUGACUGCAAAGUCUUUAAACUAGACAAUCCAAAAUCAAGCCGACCGCUACGUCGUUAAACUAAGCUACUCAAAUCAAGCUGAUAGCCACGUCAUUAAACUAAACUACUCAAAUCAAGCUGACCACCACGUCAUUAAACUAAGCUACUCAAAUCAAGUCGACCGUCAUGUCGUUAAAUUGAGCAUCGCAGUCUUAAGCCGACAGCCAUGACGUCGUUAAACUGAGCACUACAACCUCAAGCCGACUGUCAUGUCAUUAAACUAAGCAACUCAACUUCAAACCGACUGCUAUGCCGUUAAACUGAGCAAUUCAACUCAAACCGACGGUCAUGUCGUUAAACUAAGCAACUCAACUUUAAGCCAACCGUCAUGUCAUUAAACUGAGCAACUCAACUUCAAACCGACCACCAUGUCGUUAAACUGAACAACUCAACUCAAGCCGACCACCACGUCGUUAAACUGAGCAACUCAACUUAAGCCGACCACCACGUCGUUAAACUAAGCUACUCAAAUCAAGCCGACCACCACGUCGUUAAAUUGAGCUAUUAAAAUCAAGUCGACCACCACGUCGUUAAACUGAGCAACUUAACUCAAACUGAUCGCCAUGUCGUUAAACUGAGCAACCUAAUUCUAAAUGACUGUCAAGUUCAUAAACUGAGCAUUUCAUCAAUGUACAGUAGGUAAAUGAUGUUGAAAAAUUAUAAAAUUUAGUUUCCAAAUACUUUCAAUAGUUUAGAUCAUGUCUAACGGAGCCGAUUAUCGAUUUGAAAGCCGCAUCAUUGAAGACAACUUGGUAGCACGGGAACCUCCGUGCUACCAAUAGUAUACUAGUCUCUCUCUCUCUCUCUCUCUCUCUCUCUCUCUAUAUAUAUAUAUAUAUAUAUGUAUAUAUAUAUAUAUAUAUGUAUAUAUAUAUAUAUAUAUGUAUAUAUAUAUAUAUGUAUAUAUAGCUUGGUUCCGUUCUAGCUAGCGAGCGAGUCGAGCGCACACACUUAUAUUUUUUUUGGUGUUUCGAUGUCACGGUUAGUAUCAUAAUAUUAUUGUUUCUUGUUUAGACUCUUUUGAUAAAUUUUUGAUAGGAAUUGAGAGUUCGAAACUGAUUUUUUGUACGUUUUAGGAGCUGAUUUCAUAGUUGUCGUUCAAAUUAGGAGAAUUGUAACAUAUCAUAUGACUAUUUCAACUCUCGCCAUAUUUCUUGAAUUUGUGAUAUAGGUGGGUUCCAUGUUAUCAAGAUUGGCGAACUAAUUUCUAUGUCCAUAUUAUAUUAUUUAACCUAUGAGAUGAAUUGUUAACAUAGUUGAGAUAAUAGUGGUAUUUUGAUACCUACCAGUAGAGUAAAUUGAGACAUAUAUAUGUGAUAUUUUUCUAAAGGUUAAUAGACAGCUACAGAUAGUGUGAAACUAUAACUGUAUUUUGAAUACUAUGACGGUAUUAUCAUGAUCUGUUUGAUCAUCGCAUUUGACCACAAGCU